UACAGAGGGUGCGAGCGUUGUUCGGAAUUAUUGGGCGUAAAGCGCUUGUAGGCGGCUUGUUAAGUUCCGUGUGAAAUCCCCAGGCUUAACCUGGGAAGUGCGCGGAAAACUGGCGAGCUUGAGUGCCGGAGAGGGUCGCGGAAUUCCCGGUGUAGAGGUGAAAUUCGUAGAUAUUCGCAAGAACACCAGUGGCGAAGGCGGCUCACUGGCCCGGUACUGACGCUGAGGUGCGAAAGCGUGGGGAGCAAACAGG
rnacentral:rRNA from 1 species